UACGAAGGGGGCUAGCGUUGCUCGGAAUGACUGGGCGUAAAGGGCGCGUAGGCGGAAUGCUUUGUCGGGCGUGAAAUUCCAGGGCUCAACCUUGGGGCUGCGUUCGAGACGGGUAUUCUAGAGUUUGGAAGAGGGUCGUGGAAUUUCCAGUGUAGAGGUGAAAUUCGUAGAUAUUGGGAAGAACACGGUGGCGAAGGCGGCAUCCUGGACCGGUAUGACGCUGAGGCGCGAAAGCUA
rnacentral:rRNA from 1 species